AGCGGGCUCCGGCAUUGGCCAGCCCAGAAAGGGGCUCCCAGAGUGCAGCGGUGGGCUGAAGGGCUCCUCAAGUGCCGCCAAAGUGGGAGCCCAGAUAGAGGAGGCGCCGAGAGCGAGGAGGGCUGUGAGGACUGCCAGCACGCUGUCACCUCUCAGUACUAUUUUAUGGUCUGUUUACAGUAAUCUUGAAAGAGAUAGAAAAGGACCUUGCUCUAUUGCCCUGGCUGGAGUGCAGUGGCAGGAACAUGGCUCACUGCAGCAUCGACCUCCUGGGCUCGAGUGAUCCUCCCAUCUAAGCCACCUGAUUAUCUGGGACUAUAGGAUCUAGCAGAGGACACUGAGGAGUCCCUGGAAGAUUGCGGCAACACAAGACGGAGAAGCCAGGAUCCCAAAGCACCAAGUGAAAGACUGGUCGGCAAAAAUCCAUUUGAACUGUGAUGUGAGUGAAAAACAUAUGCCUGUUGAAUUAAGUAAUGAUCAAUGCUAUGCUCUGUUUGUACUCAUAGCAGCUUCUGUUAUGCCUUUUAUUAAUACGUCUGGCUUGUUUCCUUUUGAUCUCAGGGCUAAAAUAUCCCAUUUGAAAAACCACCCAUUUUUUUUCCAGUCUUCUGCUUUGUCAAGUUAUAUCAUAGCAAGUUUUUACAAUAAAUAAAACUCUAUAGUAAAAAAUAAUUU
rnacentral:lncRNA from 1 species